CUAACCUCACUCUUUAAGAGUUCGUUUGUUUACAUGUGGCUUUAACAAAUUAUCGGAUAAAUAGGAAAAUGACAUUAGGAGAAUUUGAAAUGACAUAGGAGAAUUAGAAAAUAAUGUGUAGUGUUUUAUUUAGUUAAAGAUAUAUGGAAGUAUUAAAUAAUUAAACUUACGUUACGUGAUAUAAGCAAAGUAUAAUUUAGAAUAACCUACGUUCUCCAGUGUAGAAAUCGUCUGUCUACGUUUAUACGUUACGUUAUAUUCUUUAUUAAUUGUUGUAUUUAUAACAACAAGAACAACGUGUAAUACGUUGUAUUUAUUAUUAAUCUUUAUUACACGUGUGUACAUUCUUUUAAUUUAAAUAAGAAUAAUGAUGGAACAAUUGCAAACAGCAUUAACAGCAAUUAAAGUGUUACGAUCUAGUGUUGGACAAGUUUUUGAUUCUCUUGCAAAUGGGUUACGAGCCGAUCACGGAGAAGAUAAUAAAGAAUCCAAAUAUUUGUUAGAGUUGCAAGAAUUAUUGACAACGGUUAACGUUAAUUUAAGGGAUGUAGAACAAGCAGUUAGUAGUUUGAAUCCACCACCUGGUCCAUUUAAUUUGGCUAGCACGACUUAUCUUAGUCAGGAAACGACACAGGAAAGACAAGCACUUUAUGGUUCUCUUGUUAAUAGUUAUAAAUGGACAGAUAAAGUUCACGAGUACAGUAAUGCUGCUCAAACAUUAUUGAAUCAGAAUUCGUUAAAGAGAUCUUAUACGAAUACAAGUAGAGCAAAAAGAGGUAGAGUUCAAACUAGUAAUCACAAUGUACCUCCGCAACAAGUGGAUUCCAUGAUAGCAACCUUUGAUCGAUUAUUUAACGAUAUGACUGUAUCUGUAUCUCGACCAUUUGCAUCAAAUGCAGUAUUACACGUUACGUUAGGACACGUCUUAAAGGCAGUAAUAGCUUUUAAAGGUGUAAUGAUUGAAUGGGUUGUUGUAAAAGGUUAUGGAGAAAGAAUGGAUUUAUGGACAGAAUCGAGGCAUAAAGUUUUUAGAAAAGUAACAGAAAAUGCUCAUGCAGCUAUGUUACAUUUUUAUUCACCUGCACUUCCUGAAUUAGCUGUACGAUCAUUUAUGACUUGGUUUCAUAGUUUAAUCAAUUUAUUCAGUGAACCAUGCAAACGUUGUGGACUACAUCUACACAGUGCUUUACCUCCAACAUGGAGAGAUUUUCGUACUUUAGAACCAUAUCAUCAGGAAUGUAAACCAUAAUAAUGAAUGAUGUCAAGGUCCCUUGACACUAUAAUGUUGCAUAUUGAAGAAGUAAUUAAUUAAUUCUAUAUUAUAUUGUAAAAGUUCAUAUAUUUAAAUAUAUUUAUUAAUAAAAUCUGAGAAUAUCGUGUUGUUCCUUGUAAAAUGUAUAUAUUCUAUGGGAGGUAAUCGCAGUGUAAAGAGAAGAGAGAGAAUAUAAGGGCAUUUAUAAAAAGAACUUAAUUAUACAAUACUUAACAAAUGUGAAAUUUGAAAUAGUAAAAAGUAACAUUGCAAAAUAUAAAUGCAUUUAAUUUGCAAUUUUAAGACGUCUGAUCGUAAUUCGAUCAUUAUUUUGAUUUAACCGAAGCCAGAAGAAAGAGCAAAAUGAAUAAUCGUCUGUCUAGAUUAAAGGAGCCUUUAUCAAAAAGAAGAUAAAUAUACUAUUGACAGAUUGUGGAAUUGGAACUUGGCAUUUUUUUAGCGGAUAAACACUUACGGCUGUACUAACUUUUAAGUAUAAUAUACAAAUGAGCAGGCAUAAAUGUUUUUGUUUUUGAAUAUAAUAGCUCUGCAUUUUCAGUGAUUUCCUUUUGUAUAUCCUAUGUAUGUAUACCACUCUUAAUAUCAUACGCUAGGUAGUUUUAUAUAAUACUAAUUAGUAUCAUAUGUAAAUAUAAGUACUUUUCACAUAACUGUACACAUUCACAUUUGGAAUAUUGGCACUCCGUUAAGAGUGCAAGUCGUUAAAGUGGCAGUGAACUUAUUUUACAAAUCGUUAUUGUGAUCGCUCACUUUUAUGGACUCUUGCAAGUAUUUCAUCGUAAGGCUCUAUGUACGUUGCAAUAUUCAAUUGAGCAUAAAUACGCGUCGUUGACUCGAAACUAUUUAUGCGAUCGUUCUACCUCGUCUAUCGAGUUUUAUCGAAUUCAUAAUAAGUGCGUAAUAUAUAUUAAGUCGUUCGCUAAAAACGAAUAUCAACGAAUUUAAUCGUUAUCACGUAUAAUAUAUCACUUUCCGAUCGUCCAACUUCUUGAUUAUGCGAAAUAUUAAGUGCGCCAACGUGUUUUUUUACGUAGAUUUCAAGCAAUUCUUCUUAUUUUUUUUUUUUCUUUUUUCUUCUUUUUUUUCUCUCUUCUUCCUCUUGUCAAUAGUAUGUGUGUAUGUGUGUGUGUGUGUAUGUGUAUGUAGACUGUACUUUAUUAUUAUUUGUAUAUAAGUGCAAUUUUUAAGAUAUUUCUUAUAAUUUCGGUGCAAUCUUAAAUCAAAGUGACGGUAGAAAUGUUUACGACAACGAACACUUAACGACACUUUUUCUUUUUUUUUUUUUUUUUUUUUUAAUCCCUUUUUUUUAUGGUUAAUUUUUUUUCUGCUUUAUCUUCGAACAUUGUGAACACAUAACGCGGAAUGUUCUUUUUUGGUAAAUAGAUAGAAUAAUUAAUC
rnacentral:misc_RNA from 1 species